UACAGAGGGGGCAAGCGUUAUUCGGAAUUAUUGGGCGUAAAGGGCGCGUAGGCGGCCUGGCAAGUGGAAGGUGAAAUCCCUCGGCUUAACCGAGGAACUGCCCUCCAAACUGCUUGGCUUGAGUCCGGGAGAGGUGAGUGGAAUUCCCAGUGUAGCGGUGAAAUGCGUAGAUAUUGGGAGGAACACCGGUGGCGAAGGCGGGUCUCUGGGCCGAUACUGACGCUGAGGAGCGAAAGCGUGGGGAGCGAACAGG
rnacentral:rRNA from 1 species